ACAAGCUGCUGCUGUAAGAGAGUCGGUGAGUUGUGUUUAGUCUCUUUGCGAAAGAAAUCAGGCAAAGCUAAAAAGAUGUUUGGUGGCUAGUUCUAUGGCUGGGACCCUAUAUGUACUGUUGAUGAAGUUAGGUGCUGUUCUGAGCAUUAUUUGGCUAUAGAGUGGCGUUUUGGUUGAGUGUGUGGCCCAUGAGACCGCUGUGUAUUGCUAUCAUGCGGUCAUUUCUUAAGUUGGUAUAACUAAAGAAGCAAGCGGUCGGCAACAUUCAUCUCUCGAGGGCGUCUAAGUGUCCAAGCAGCUAGUGGCUAUUUGUUGUGGUUACUGUCCACUAUAAGUCAAGCACAGUAGUACUAGCUGUUUGGUAGAUCUGGUUUUAUAAGAAGUAACAAUUUCAAGGCUGCAAUUAAAGUAAAAAUAAAAUGUUUUACUCCCCUCAGGUUUAGUAUUGAUGUAAGAAUAAUUAUGGAAGAUGUAGCACCGAUUUCCAGAGAGUCAACAGGAAAAUCUGUCCCGCAGCGUUGGCAGCUGUUCCCACUCAGAAUCAUUGGAGUCCUUAUUUUUGGCUUGAAUUAUCUUCAAAUGAAGCUUACAUCCAAACUUGUCAGGUUCAUAAGGCUCAAAUCAAGUUAAUUGUUAUACUUUGACUUUAGUUGAGUAUAUUAAGUUCAGUUUUCAGUUUGGCAAGGAUACUUAAAGAAAAAUCUGCUAAAUAAAACAAAAGAAAACUUCUAUUAUUACUUCCUUUGAAUAGAGCUUUACCUCAUUAUGCACCUCAUUAUGCUGCUGUGCAAAACUCUUUUCAGUGGAUGGAUUUGAUAUGACAUGUCCGAUCAGGUUGUCCCUUGGGAACUAGCAUUAGAAAUUCAGUACGUUGUUGCAGAGUUUGGACCAAUCAGAAUCAAGUGUUUAACACAGCUGAGUAAAGAGUGAUAAAGCUGGUUAAUAAAUAUAUGUAAAUAUAAUAUAUUAAAUCCAUUGACUCAGCCCAUGACUCAGGCGACUGCAAGAUUUACAAAGGGACCCUUUUUACAAUCCCAUAUAGGGGAAAAAGAUCACUCUCUGUAAGAUGUUUCGCCUUUUUUUCAGGAGGAGCUGAUGAUACUGCUCACCACUGACAGGAAGAAGGCUUCACAGCCGGGUUUUUGAAGUUGACCUGCAGACAAAGAUAAAAGAUCACUGGAUAAAAGUACAUCUGGAGAUCCUUUUGAAGAUUCUGAGCUGCACAGACUAUAAGGCAACAUUUUAUAAAAUCAACAAACUAAAUUCAGGAAAAGCGCACAAUUCCCUUAAACAAUGACACCCAAUCCGAGUUUAUCUUUACUCUAUCAGAGUGUGUGUCUCGCACUGCUAAGCGGAUGAUACAUAAGCCCUCUGGCAGCUCUCCAUUUCCUGUCCCUCCUUGUAAAAAAGACUGUUCAUAUCAGUGUUGAGGUUAGGGAUGCUUGGUUCAGCAUAGAUCCCUGUUAGGAUAAGGCCCCCCAUCUCCCCGUUUCCACCCCCCUGUCCAUAUCUGAAGCCCCUCCUGUGAUUUCCUCUUGACACGUGUUAUCUGACACCGCCUUGCAGUCCAACAAAUCCAGCUCCCAGAGCUCACACCUUGUGUGGCAGCGGAGACUGAAUCCAUGGCAGGUUUAAUGGCAGAGCGGUCACUCAUGCAAGGAGAGUGCUAUAUUUUAAACAAAACUGUGAAAUACCCCCUGACGGUUGUCUCUCUUUGGUUCUCUUUUUAAAUGUAGCACUGAAUAUGCAUAUUUGAUGCCAAGCCAAGUACAAAGGCCCCUAAGUUCACUCUUGUGACAGCUACUUUUGUUCAACAUGGGUUUUCCAUUUGUUGUUGCAAUUAUUUAUCCUGAUAUUUUACCCUGCAAAACAUCCAACAUAAAUUGUGCAUGCUUUGACUCCAAGAGGCUUGUAAAUACACUUUGACAGCAGCUCAACUAAAAGAUCUUUUCUGGCACUUUUAGCACUGAUAUUAUCUGACAAGUGAGAUUAAAUCUUUCAUUUGCGUCUUUCACUAACUCCUCUUUUUCACAGGUUUUAUGGCAGCACUGUGAUGCCUUGUCUUUUGUGCAAGGGGGCAGAAUUUUAGUUUUUUUUUUUCCUUCUUUUUUCAUGUUAAUCUACAUAAAAAAAUCUGUUUUCAUUUGGAAUAGAUGAUAGUGAUAUAGGCCUUAUAAGGACCAAUGCUAAUGUGAUGCUAAUUAUAACAAAAGGCCAUUAAUCAGUCUGAUUAACUGACCAGCUGAUUAAUUGCUCGAUCUCUAUCUAUAUAGCCUUUAAAAUGGUAAUACAGUAAUAACAAUGACAUGAAGUUAUGUUUUUGUCAAACAAUACUCCAUUGUUAAAGUUGUUGUAGUGUAUGACAGGUCCAUGUGUGUUAAGGAGCCUUCACACAGCAAGGAUUUCCAGACACGCAGAUGAAGAGUUUGACUCACUCCAAAUUUUAGCACCACCAUGAAUUUUUUAUCAGCUGAGGCUCAUGAGGAAGAGGGAGGGAAAACGCUAAUCUGAAGAUCGGCAUUCGAUCAUCAUCUCCUUCAGUCUCCAUGUCAAAGUUUCCUCAGGCAACAAACGAAGCUCUAUACUGAGUAUGUGUGAAUGUUAAGUACAACGUAAAUUCCAUCCCUACGAGCUGACACUGGCUUGUCCUCUGCUAUCAGCAUAUGAAUGUGUGCCAGUGACAGAAUAUGACAAGUUUUGAGGCUUAAAAAAGCUCCAUAAAUCUUGUCCAUUUACCAUUUUCUUCUCAAAAUGUCACUGGAAAUGCAAAGCGUGCUGUGGGGGAGUUCAUACCCCGACUGUGUAUCACCUAGAAGUAAACAGGCCAUAACACUCAAUGACACCAAAAAUAUAACGCAGACAGACAGAAUCUUGAAGAUCCCCAUGGGGAUGUGAGGGACUGAAGCCCUCAAGAAGACAUGUGACCUACUUGGCUUAACCUGCCUUUGUUCAAGUUUGGUCUUGGAGCCAGCUGUGACACGUCUGCUGCUGUCAACAGGAAUCAUGGGAUGUAGGGCAGACAGAUGUGGAGGAGACAGUCUGCAUUGAUGUGUUGGCUUCUCCAGCUCGACUGCGUAGGCAAAGAUGGCAGCUCUAAGUGCCGGGUGUCCGCGCAGCCGGGUCGCCUGGGAACAUGCUGACCGUACGCACGCCAGUGUUGGCAGAGGAGCAGCGUUAACGACAGGAGAAAGGCCAUUCUACCCUGCUCACUCGGUGUGUCCGGUCUGAUUGUACCUGGAAGAGAGUAAGAGCACAUCAAACAUGUAGUGCACACUAAUGAGAAUACACAGACCUCACAUUUUCUCCUCUGGAAUAGGUUUUCUUCACAUGGGAUUUGAUUAAAGAACUCCUGCCUUGUCUUUUUCACACGUAUUGUCAAUUAAAGGCGCACAGAGACAGCUCCCUCUUGAGCGAUUCUAAUAUCAGACAUUCAGAAAUAUUUGCGUAUAUGCAAGCUUGAUGGCUGACGAGAAAUAAAUCCACUCCUCCUCCGAAGCAUCAAAAACCAACAGCUUCCCUUUAUCAAUGUGAACAGAGCAGCUUCAAAUCCCCAUAUGACGAAGAAAAUAGAGCCUUUAGGGACUGAAGAGAGAAAUGCAUUGUAAGCUAAGACCAUUAUGUUACUUCAGUCUUCUUUAAAUUGCUUUUGUGCUCUGAAAAUAUUCAUCAAUUCUAUGACAGGGACUGUUUUCUCUGCCCCCGAGUCUCUCCCCAAUCACUGGCGGGUGUUUUACAGUAAUACUAUGUUCCUUAUCUGUCAUGACUUUUCAAGAUACUGGCAGUGGUACUGUAAAUGAGCCCGCUCUGCUCUGCAGUAAGACAAAGCUUCCUGGUUUAAUUGGAGCUCCAUUUAUGAGGAAUAAAGAAACUGGCAGUUCCUCCUGCCUUUAUUCAUUGCAGGAAACGUAUGUGGAUUUUAUUUCACAAAGAGCUUAAUUUUUCCUUCUUCUGGCCGUCACUUCCAAAUAAUAUUUAAAUGGGGGUUUGACAACACAGCAGUAGGAGUAGAUGACAGAAAGGCUGGCGGUAAAAGUAAUUUAAAACAAGAAGCCUGACAGCGAGCGGGAACAGAAAGUUUGAAGGAGUUUUAACAGUAAGACCAGUGUUUGGUUGGGCUCUGACCAAGUUUGAUCAUGACAAAUGUAUUAAAACUGAAAGCACAAAGUAAGAAAGAAAAAGAAAAGUGAGCACUUUAGAUUAAACAAGACAAUAAUUGUAGAUCAGACUGUGAUACAAAAGAAAAAAGCAAUUUGUCGUAUUUGUUGUUACAAUCAUCUUUAAAAUAUAUAGUUUCUCUUUUUGACUUUAUUUUUAAUCAGGUAUGAAUCUGUUCUUGUGACAAACCAGUGGAGAAUCAUAAUCACACUCUUUUUAGUUUUCCUUAUCUGCUUAUUUUUAAAGUCUGUGGUUCAUUAUUGCUUUGGCUGGUACAGUCUGCCACUCUUGUAAAUUAUUUCAGCCAACAAGUGUUCCCAAUUAACGGAAAAGUGCAUUGUUUUUUUAGUUUUUUUCUUCUGUGUGGUUAUCAGACGCAGACAAAACAUACUAGUAUCCAAUCAGACGCACUUACCAGAGGAUGCAUUAAGCUGUCUGCACUUUUUUAAAUAAGAGUAGAAAAAUAAAUCAGUUUUAUGGUGUGACGCAGUGAUGCAGGAGUUUUUUUUAGGUGAAGGGAGAAAAAUAUAAUGGGAGAGUCUGAAUAGACUACUUCUAUAAAGGUCCCCUAUUAUGAAAAAUCCACUUUUGGGUGGUUUUCUGCCAAUAAUAUGCACCCCUUGAAGCUGACAACCCUCCCUGACAUGAAAACUUUCAUUCUCUCCCUCUCUUGCUUUCCCUCCUCUCUGAAAACAUGAGUGCAAACGGGUGGAUGGAAAAGCUGUGCGGUUAUGACGACAUAACCGCAAAAGCCUCUACUACAUGUUGGUGGCACUGCCCCUGAUAAUCGUUAGCCCAGCCCUCUAAAACUUCUUUGCUGAAGUAGCGUCUGACCCAGCCUCUGCACGUUUCUUGGCUUCACAAACUAAGGCAAGUCUUUUUCUGCCUCCUUCAUCUGAAGAUUUGAGGACCCAGUGUAUCAAUUUUAUUUUAGAUGGAAAUGUACACACAACAACUCUGAAAAUGUUUGCUAACCCUUUCACCACAGACUGUUUUACCAACGAGGGGCAGUUCAAAGCAGGAUUCGCUAAGAAGCUUAAGAUAAAACCUGGAUCCGUUCUGACUGUCCGUGUCAGGGACAAAACUUCAAAUGCGGAAGCUGUAAGUUUUACUAUUUUAUGUUGCUUUACCGCUGCCCGUAUGACUAGUGCUUUGGCUGCAUUCCAGUGUGUUUACCAUCGUUGGUGUUUGUCUUCAGACUCACUUCUAUUUUCUAUUUACUUUUAUUCCCAUGAGCAACGGGUGUUCCUUGGGGGCGUGGAGGCAGGCUGGUCCUUCCAGCCGCAGUGGUCUGGAGGUCCUCUGAAGAGGUCCUCAGAAGAUCUCCAGACCACCACUCCUGGACCAUCACGGCGGUUCCGGCAGCUCAGAGUGGCCUUGGGGAGGAAGAUGUUUACACACAGCUCAUUAUCAUUUAAAGGUACAGGCGCAGAAUCAGGGGGGGGGCUGGUGUUUAAACGACAAACUUCAAAUUUACUAUUGUGAGACCUCUGGGACUGAUUUAAACUUGAUGAAAAAUGCCACAAUAGGAGACCUUUAAAGCCUCUAUCUAUAGUUUUUCACUUUUAUAAACAGAUUCAAAUCAACAGUGAUGAUCUAAACAAGACCAAUAACAGCAAGAAUGACAACUUUAAAGUCCCUGUUUCCACCUCAAGAUGGUAGGUGUCAAAUGAGUCAGUUAUAUAUGAAUGCACAUCAACUACUCUUUCACAUUAUUAACUCUUACAGCAAAGACAAACAGACUUGGUGAGGAGGUGGUAAAAUUAGAGGAGUAUUGGAGGCUCAGUAUUACUGGCAGUAGUUUGUGGGGACCAAAGCUAAACUUAAAAGGAUGAAAAAUGUACCGCUUACCUGAAAAUGGCUUCUUGUAAAUGCUGUUUGCCUCUUUGAUAUGUAAGCAGCCAACUGUUUCCCAGUUUAAUGAGGUGAAAACAUCUCUGUUUUGUUGUAACAGCUGCCUACAAGAUGUAAAUGAAUAAAUACGAAAUCACUUAGUAUAAGUCUAACAUUCCUGCAGACAGUUCAGUUGAACUUUAUCCAGAAAAACACAUGACUCACUGUUUAGGUUUGUUUGGUAUCAAAAAAUACAGACUUUCUUGUUGAGCAGUGUUCCCACUAACAGACCAGCAUGGAGUUAUUUCACACAGUCCAGCGACACAGUCAGACACAAAAACAAAGCAAAACAUGACAGGGAGAAUAAUCAGAUAUUAUUCAGCGAGGCAAAACAAGUCCUCGCUCAGAAAACGUGUUUGAUUUACUGGAGCAGGGCAGAAUUUAUUUGCUUACCCUCAUGUUUGACCCACUCAGGCCCCCUUUACAAAAUAAAAUAAGCAAUAACACAUUGUCUUGUUACUUUGAGACAAACUGCGAUUGGAUCUAGUAUCAAAACAGUGUUUUAUUAGGAGCUGUGAAUGUAUUUGUCCUGAUAUCCCUCCAGAAGAACUUGCAUAUAUUACUUUUUCUUUAAGAACUUAAUGGUAUGUUUGUCGGCUGGAUCAUCUAAGCUUCCCACCUGCCCUCUUUAUGUUUGUUUGUUCUUACCAAACUCAAACUCGUCUCUUUCAGCGACCUCUGAAAAUGUCAAAGCAAAAUAUAUGCAGUAUAAUAAUAUAUGUGCAUAACAUCAAAACACUGACACAUCCUUGAUGGCAUAACACACCGAGGGAGCACACUGACAAAGAAAUGUUUCUCAUUGAUUUUUGACCACAGGGUACAUUUGGAAGAUUUAAAUAUAGAUACAAAACUUUGUAAAAUUGCUACAAAGUGAAAAUUGAUGACAGUGAAGGGGUCUUAUGUGAAAUGAAAAGCACCAGCAGACCUCAGUAUCUUUGUGCCGCAGAUAAGGUCUCCGUCAUCACAGCGCCGGAAGAUGCCUGUGGUUUGGAUUCUUGAGAUGGACUGUACGUUGCUCUGAUUUCAAACGAGUGGGAGACGGGCUGUUCCCUCAGCAAAGCCGGAGCUGACUCAGACACUCUCGACCCAGCGCCCCAAAUCACACAGCAGUGUUAUUUGCCAGAGGAUACAAUCAAGGAAACACAUCAAAGUUCACUCUCCGGAGCUGGAGCCGCUCACAUGCAUCCCCUCAGUAUAGGCCUGUAUGCACACAAACACAUUCAUAGAUUUGUGUGCUAAUUACACAUGAAUACUCUAAAGCCUGACUCAUAAUGAAAGAGCAAUUAGGCCUCUCCAUCACUGGCUUUGAACCAAACCAAGCUCGACUUUUACACAGCGGGCUGAUUUUCAACGUCUGCUGACUAGCCACAUGUUGGUGUGUCUGACCUAACUGUUGGACCUCAGAGUCGAUCAGUGGGCUUCCCGCCCACCUCAAUGCCUAUAGGCUACCUUCACUUCCUUCUGUUUAGACUCCUUAUGCACAACCAAACACUCCUGUUUUUAUUGAGUAAUAAGGCUGCUGCUGUCUCUAUGUUAUGCUCAGUCUACAACUGUUGCUCUAUAAGGUUAAUAUUUUAAAGGCAUGGUUGACGAUUGGAGAGAUUGGUAAUUAUUAUGAACCUCGUUUUUAUGUUGAUCAUGGUCCUGUAGUGCGAUCUCCACAAUGUGAAGAGAAAAAAGGACGGACAAAAUCCGUUCACCCUAGCAGGUGCAGGGCUGCAAAAACAUUGACCAAUGGGAGCCAUCCGUCCCAGACAGCUCCUAUUGGUCAAUCUCCUUGCUCCGCCUCUCCAUCCAAUCACCUCGCUGUAUUCGACACACCCCUCUCCCGUAGUUCCGACUCAUCCCCUCACACUCCCCCGGCUCUCCUCGAAGCUCUGAGCGGCUAGCGUAGCAGCUUAGCUACAGAAGCUGUGAUGGAGAAGAACGCAACAAAAGAAAAAAAAAACAACUUCUGCUUCUUCAGAGAAAGGGCAGAGUCGAAGAGGAAAUGUGACCAAGCGAGGACUCUAACUUAAAUAAACAUCGGGUCAUCCUUCAAGCAGAGGAGAAAGCUCUGCCGGGAUUUGGGUCUGAAAUCAGACACCAACAGAGUUUUUGUUGAACAGGUAAUUUUUACCUUUUAUCCUGGCACAUGUUACAUAAAUAACUCUUAUUAGUCUCUGCAACGUCAACAUGGUGGCUGUCCAGGCAGCUGCAGACGGUGCUCGCUAGCAGAGCUGGCGUUUACUGCCACACUAGCAAUCCAACAUGGUGGAUCCUAUUUGACGUUGGGUAGGAUCUUAUGCCGGCCGGCUUCUUGCUCUGCCAGAGGUAUCUGGCAUCUUCUUAAACACAAUUGAAGGCAAGGAAGUGUCUUAACGCUAAUAUUUGCCGAAUACUACAUGAUGAUGGCUAGUUAUCAAAUUUCUAAUUUUUCUCCAUCAUUUGUUUGUAAUGUCGCUCAAGUCCAAAGUCCUAAAAUGAUUAUAGUUGUCCAACUUCUCUGUUUACACAACCAAGACUAUGUUCAUACAGCGCUACAUUAAAACGCCUUUCCUUUGUGUUUUAAGAUAAUCUGUGUUCCUGACAUUAUGAAAAACAAUCUUUGUGCAUGACUGAGAGCCAUUCUUCAAUCGAGCACUGAAGUAAAUUUGAUUCAACUGGAAAUGUAAUAUGUUUAGGCAGUAAAUUCACAGUAUUCAAAGAUUUUCAUACUGCCAGUUUAAAUGGCUAGAGAAGGGAUGGCGUAUUCAAGAGAUUCAACCCUAGAGCCUGCUUUUAAAAGCUUGUAUUUUCAGCUGUCUGGAUGUUGUCACCAUGUUACAGUUCAUUAUUUUUAACUAGAUAUGUUUCCAUGUAAAUAUCUCCUAACACAAUAUAAAAAAUGAGGGUAGGGAAAUCUUUUCAGCUAAUUAAGGUUAUGAAUUGUGUGAUGAGUUGGAAUUGGUUGUGCAUUGUGCAUGCAUGCAUAUGUCUGAGUGUAUUAGUGUAAGUGAAUUCCAACCUUGAGCCUAAGUGGCUGCUGUGUGAAUGAUACGGCGGCUUGUCUUCCUAUGGAUGGAUAGAACCAGGAUGAAUUCACUCCUGACGGUGACUCCAUGUUUCUGUUUGUGUGACUCCUCUCCUUGCUCAGCUUGAUGAUUUUCUAAUGUUCCCUGUAAUCUCUUGUAAUCAUGGUGCUGUGGGAACUUAAACACAUGUUGCCACAACAAACGAUCUCGGCCCAUCUCAAUUUGUCCAUCAAAGACACAAGUCCAGUUUGUCCCAAAUCACACACUGACAUCACACUGCAGGCAAGCUAGACGUGUCCAUACAUAUUAAUGAAGACAUAAAGUCAUUUAUUCAGCAGCUGAUUUACAUUGCAGAGUUGAGAGGUUCUAAAUCAAAGGGAUUUCAAAACACUUUACAAGAUUUGCAAAUUAGAUGAGACAAGCUGUUUAUUUCUCUACAUGUUGUAGCUUUUGGCCCUAAACUUCAUUUAAUCUUAAUUCCUUCAUUAGGUAAGUACGAAUGCAGUUGUACAUCAAUAAAGUUAGUCAAACACAUCUAUAAAAAUCAAGUACUGUUUGCACAUAAAUGCAUGCUCCGAAUAUAUCGUCAAAAGUGCUGCAGUCAUAAAGCAUGUAGGCUCACAAAGCAAUAUAUAAUACCCUAUAUUAAUCUUUUUCCUCGGUUGGCACUCAGUAAAACAUUAUCUACUUGCCUGCUUGUCUCUCGUCUCGAGGGGGAGUGCGCCGGUGGAGCAGAGGAGGUAGGACAGAUUUAGGAUUUGUAUGCGACGAGAGGCACCUUUAGGAGGAGUGUGUCUGGUCUGUCUGACGCUCUUUGAUUCUCGGCGGGGAGGGAGCAGGAGCUCGCUCAGACGGAGGAAAAGACUUAUGAGCUUUAUUGAUCACAGGGUCGUAUAGAGCGGGGAGUCUCCGUCUGCAUAAAACAGAGCUUUUAUUGACAUCAAGGCUGCAACAGGUGAGGUAACUGAAGAAAUCAUCGAGGUGAGAGAGUAAAUUCAGAGGAGAAGCUUUAAAAAAGAAUGGUUGUGUUCUGAGUUUUUUUUAGCGGGGAUAAAACUCAGAGGUAUUUAAAUCCACCAGUGACAGAUUAUUGCAUCAAUUCUGUAACCUGACACGACCGUUCGGUUCACUAUUUCACUUUUAAAUCGAUGGAAAAUAUUAUGUACACUGCUGCACACAAAGCCUUAAUGAUCCCCCUCUGACUGACUGAGGCAUAAAAGAAUUACAUGUCAUUAUUGUUACAGUCAAUCGAGCCAUGACGCCAGUGAGUUUUUCCUGUUUAAAAAAAGGCCUUCAGUAUAAUGAAAGCUCCUACUGCUAGACUAGCGAUAGAAAAAGAUGAAAAAAAAAGUUAUUUGUAUGUUUGUUUCACAUUUUGAACUAUCAGACACUAUUUUCUAAGGGAUUGUGUUAGGUUUUUUGAGCUGCCAGACAAAAAAAUAGGUGACUAUUGUGUCAUGUGCCAGGGUAAAAAACAAUCGGGGAAAGGAUGCUGAACAAAAAAAGAACGAAAUAAAAAGCAACAAAAACUUACCUUGAUGUCCAACUGAAAAAUUCCUAAGGCAAAAAAACAAACAAAACAAAACAAAACAAAAACAAAAAAACACAAGAAGCAAAGAACCAAAAAUUACAAGCAUGCACACAUGUUGACAUACAUACAAUGAGCCAACAAGGACAGAGGGGAAGACAGGGACGAUAUACACACUGGGAAACGAGCCACAGGUGAAACUCAUAGGUGAUUAACGAGGGAGGGAAAACUAGGUAAGUAAAAACAGACUAGAAACACAAGGAAUCAAGUUCUACAAAAUAAAAUGGGAAUCACUGAGAACUGGUCUAAAGAAUAACAGUCAGUGCGUUUACAUGAACAGCUUAAUCGGACGAAGCUCAUAGUAAUUCAAAAAUGAAUUAUUGAUGUUAAUGUGUCCUCCUUCCCAAAACUAGGGGGCGAUAUGGGUCUUUUAAGGGGCGCUGUUUCUGAGCCUUUUUCAAAGAUGUCGCCGCUCCUCGUUGUGCGACCGUCGAUAAACUUUAAAAAGCCAAUUUCUUUCAGGAGGGAAAGCAUAACGGCACUCUCCUCGUCAUUCCAGAAGUGGACAUUCUUUUGUGCUUCAGCCAUGUUGCAGUUGCUUUUGAGCUGAAAGUUCUUAAAAUGAAAGUGCCACUUCUUCUCUGGUGUUUUUGUUCAUGCAUUGUCUGAUAAAACUCUGACUACACUGGUUACAUGGUACAGAAAAUCAAAUUCCAAUUGCAUUAUCUGGGUGUUAUAAUCAGACUCUCAAACUCUGAUUACAGUCAGACUAAGGUGUUUACAUGCACUUCAGUUGUCUGGUCUUAAUCAGAAUGAGGCAAUAAUUCAGUUUUCUUUAGAGUCAUGUAAACGUAGUGAAUGACAACAUGAGGGAAAAAACGGGGUUAAACAAACUGAAAACUCACAAGACAGGAUCACAGGAACAAUAGAGAACAGAAACACAAGGAAAAACACAAAGAAAAUACGCUCAACAAAACCUGGGAAAACUAAAUCAACAGAACAUAUCGUGACAUCUUGAGCAGAAACUUUCCUUGUACUGAAAAAAUACUGGUUGGUUUUGUGAGCUCAGCUGUGAUUUGGAAGGUUGAAGAAGACAAAGAUAUCCUUUAUUAAUUCCCCUUGGGGGGGAAAUUGAAUUUUUCACUCUGGUGUUAUACAUGCUACGCACACAUGCACAAAAAACUCUAUUGGGAAAACACUGAACUCUGGGGCCAGUUGGCGAGAACUAUGAUUUUUCUUCUCUUUCAUUUGUGUUGUUUUUUUUCCCUACAAGUCUGCAGAAGCUGUGACCUAGAAAACAGAUGUAUGUGAUUGUGCACACAAGGCUGGAAGUCAUGCAGGUGACUGUGGCGACUACUUUGCCAAGACGCUGCUCUAGAAAAUAAGUUUUUGCUGCAGCUUUCUUUGCUGGACGCAGCUUUAUCAGCGUAAAUGUCCUUUUUGAUGCCUAUUAUGGUCCAGAACGUCGUCUUAACCACGGCCUUCAAAGUGCAUUUCAGCUUCUUCUCGUGUGCCAGAUAUUUGAGUCCAUCUAUCUGAGACUUUUCUGUUUGGGAAGUUUAGUUUCAAUAAUAUACCUGUUGCUAGGCACUAAGCCCCCGCUUUACACAUCCACGGUUUAACAAAAACAAGCGUGUGUGUAUACAACAGGGGGUCAGACGCCAUGUGCCACGACUGCUGCCAGAAAGAGCGCUGUGGUAAACUGCCAACCACUGUGGUCUGGUACUCCAACAGCCAUUCAGCCCCAGUUCACUCCCCCCUCCUCCCUACAGCAGCAGGCUCUAAAAUAAGAUAAGACAACUGAGACGAUUUUCAAAUGAGAGCACUGGCAUUGGCUUCUGUGCUCACUCAGACUCCCACUGAGGGUUGAUUUUUCUUUUUGUUUAAACAGGAAAAGUGAGAUUCGUCUCUAUGGUGGCGGAGGAGCAGCAGGAGGAGUAAUUGUUGCUUAGUGAAGCCGUGGUAGACAGGUGAAUUCGAGCUGGCUUUGGUUUGUUCAACUUUGAUUAAGAAUUCAGCUCAUAUCAUGUGAAGUAAACACAACACAUACACACAAAAACACACACAAAUUAAGCCCAAAAGCUUUCCAGUAACAUAGUCUAACACAUUAUAUUAAACUAUAUUACAUCAAACUCUAAUCUACCUCUUUUAAUACUUCCAACUGCUUCAUCAUGGGGAGAUAAUGGGAGGUCAGGCUGAUAGUCAUGUUGUCCUGAAGUGCCCAUCUCAGUCUGCCAAGACGUCUGUUCAUUCCUGAAGAAUGUGUUCCCGACAACAGCGUUGACUCGCCUCCCCGGAGCCAUCACUGUUCGUUGGCACACGAGCAGCGAGAGGCAGUGCUGUUUGAGGAUAAAGCUUUGGUGAAUGCUGUGGUGUACCAGGACCGGUGCCAGGCUGACACAGGAACUGCAGGCGAAACACCUCCUCUGCCAGCCCUGCGUGCCCCUUUCUAAAAAUAUUCUCACGUGCAGCCACAAUAAUGUAACAGGAUUUUUUCCGCCUCCAUUCUUAGCUGAAGGCUGCUUUGUUAACGCUGCUAGCUUGACUGGCAUGUGGACGACUGAUUUGUAGUAGUUGUAAUUGAUGUAUCAGCUAAAGCAUAUCUAGCACUUUCUCUUUAGUUCUUGUCAUGCAUUAUAUGGAAGCACGUAUUUGGAAACAAACAGCAUGAUUACCUUUUCAAAAGUAGCCUUCUUUCUUGGUAAAUGGGUAACCUAAUUAUUAUUUCACCGGUUUCACAAUCUCUGACCAGUCUUUUGGAAGGAGCUCGAGAAAAUUGGCUCCAUUAUUUAACUCAGACUCAGUUCUGUGGCUUUUAAUCAAACACCGUUUUCCCGUUUAUCUCCACCAGCUCCCCCACAGUUUUAUCUGUUCUCUUUGUAGACCCAUUUUAAGCAAUUACUCGCCUAUGUGAUUGUUGUGAUACAUUUUUAAAAGAAUCAAACUUUGAUAUUUAAUUGCAGACUACAUUUAGGAACACAUUUUAACACCCCCCUGUGACAUUUCUCAUGUUUUGAUUCUUAACAGUGUGUUCAUUAGUAGGGGGCUGCGACAGCUCAGUAAUUACACGUGUCUAUGCUGUUAAUGGGGGUUUUUGUGCGCCGGUGAUAAAGAUUGUGCCUGUUUUGACUUACAUCUCGCUGGUGUGUAUUUGUUGUGUGGUCCUUUGUAAUAAAAACAAGGACAGCAGUUAGCUGAGGUACAACACCUUUUCUCUGAUUAGACUUACUAAACAGGAUAAUGAUUCCCAAGAGAGUGUGUCUCCAUCGCUCCGCUUGCCCUGUCACUCUCCGCACCGCCAUCGCCAUGGUGAUCAAAGCCAGAUGUGCUCACUUCUGUUGCUGCAAACAAAGUGCUACUGUACUCGCUGUUUUUACAGUUGUCACUCUGCUCAGUGCCACAGCCCUAAGGGAAUCUGCUCGCUAUUGCAGCAACAAAAGACGGACUUUAAAGCACAACAGAGUCCUUUCUUGUGGGCUGUCAUAUUAUUUGGACGACGCGUAGAGUUAAAAUAAUAUACGUUUGAAAGCUGAAAUGCACCUUCAAUUAUGUAGUUACUGUAAAGCUGCAAUG